rnacentral:rRNA from 1 species
AGGUUGGUACUUGUACCGACUGGAUGAGCAGCGAACGGGUGAGUAACGCGUGGGGAAUCUGCCUUUGAGCGGGGGACAACAUUUGGAAACGAAUGCUAAUACCGCAUAAAAACUUUAAACACAAGUUUUAAGUUUGAAAGAUGCAAUUGCAUCACUCAAAGAUGAUCCCGCGUUGUAUUAGCUAGUUGGUGAGGUAAAGGCUCACCAAGGCGAUGAUACAUAGCCGACCUGAGAGGGUGAUCGGCCACAUUGGGACUGAGACACGGCCCAAACUCCUACGGGAGGCAGCAGUAGGGAAUCUUCGGCAAUGGACGAAAGUCUGACCGAGCAACGCCGCGUGAGUGAAGAAGGUUUUCGGAUCGUAAAACUCUGUUGGUAGAGAAGAACGUUGGUGAGAGUGGAAAGCUCAUCAAGUGACGGUAACUACCCAGAAAGGGACGGCUAACUACGUGCCAGCAGCCGCGGUAAUACGUAGGUCCCGAGCGUUGUCCGGAUUUAUUGGGCGUAAAGCGAGCGCAGGUGGUUUAUUAAGUCUGGUGUAAAAGGCAGUGGCUCAACCAUUGUAUGCAUUGGAAACUGGUAGACUUGAGUGCAGGAGAGGAGAGUGGAAUUCCAUGGGUUAG